GGGAAAUUGAGCAACAAAAAGCAGGAAUGCCGAUAGUGGUGCCAAGGAGCUCAGGAGCCAGGAUCAGUGCAGAGUGGCAUAGCCCUUCUAGAAGAGGAGAAUACCAUCAUUGGAUAUAUUUUUUUCUGGUGAAAAAGAUACAGUAGGCUAAAGCUGAGCUCCACUCGAGUCCCUUCAUGAUGAUCCUAUGGCACAAAAGUUUGGAAAAUAAACAGAAUUGUUGACAGGCCACAUUGCUUUCUCGUAAAAGCAGCAAAAGAGAAAAUGUCAGAUGAUCAAGGAAAUGCAGUAGGAUCAAGGCAGCACAAGAUCCUGG